UCACUCCAGUACUCCCCACUCGAGCCGACGCAAUUUCGCACCCGAAGUUCCAAACCCCGCCGGCCGCCGCGUCCCUUCCACUUCCUCCUUACCCCAAUGGCGUCGUCAUCGAGGGCGACGUCGUCGCGCCGUUCCGUCUUCGACGCCGCCUACAUCCGCUCGGAGUUUUCUGCGGCUGGCAUCUCCGGCCACUUCAUCCCUCUCAUCUGGAAGUACGUACUUCAGAACCCUAGGUGCAGCGACCUGGAUGGCGUCCCGUCGCUGCCGGCGGCCGCGUACGCGCUCCUCCGGCAGAAGUUCCGGCCGACCACGUCGACGCUAACCGCUGCCGCGGACUCCAAGGACCGCACCACGACCAAGCUCCUCAUCUCCCUGCAGAAUGGAGAGUCUGUAGAGGCAGUGGUCAUGCGAUAUGACACACGACUGGGGAAGUAUGAUGGAAAGCCUCGGCCUGGUGGACUGCGCUCAACCCUUUGUGUGUCAUCACAGGUUGGGUGCAAGAUGGGCUGUAGAUUCUGUGCUACUGGAACAAUGGGCUUCAAAAGCAAUCUGUCUUCUGGAGAAAUUAUAGAGCAGCUGGUCCAUGCAUCCCGCUAUUCUCAGAUCCGAAAUGUUGUUUUCAUGGGAAUGGGGGAGCCGAUGAACAACUAUAAUGCUUUGGUUGAAGCAAUCGGAGUGUUUACAGGAUCUCCUUUCCAGCUUUCACCUAAGAGAAUUACUGUAUCUACUGUCGGAAUCAUUCAUGGAAUCAACAAGUUCAAUGCAGAUCUUCCAAAGGUGAAUUUAGCUGUGUCAUUGCAUGCUCCUGACCAAGAUAUACGCUGUCAGAUAAUGCCUGCUGCACGUGCCUUUCCUUUAGUAAAGUUAAUGAACGCGCUGCAGUCCUAUCAAAAUGAGAGCAAACAGACCAUCUUUAUUGAGUACAUUAUGCUUGAUGGAGUUAACGAUCAGGAGGAGCAUGCUCAUCAGCUUGGUAAACUGCUUGAAACGUUCAAAGCGGUUGUCAAUCUAAUACCAUUCAAUCCAAUUGGGUCAUUAAGCAAUUUCAAGACAAGCAGUGACCAAAAUGUGAAGAAGUUCCAAAAGGUUCUAAAAGGCAUCUACCACAUCAGAACCACUGUUCGCCAGCAGAUGGGUCAAGACAUAGCUGGUGCUUGUGGCCAGUUGGUGGUUAGCCUCCCAGAUGAAAGAUCAGCUGGUGGAGCAACCCUGUUGUCAGACAUCGAAGACCUUCGGAUCUGACCUCUCCCAAUUGUUACUUCUAUCUUCUCAAAACCAGAUCGUCUUACUAAUUAGCCUUACAUGAUAUGGUAACUAGUGCUAUAGUUUCAGUCAAGCUUUAAAACAUGGAGAUGUUUAGUUUGACCAUUGUUGUGUUUCCCUUUUGUUCUGGGAUGCACAAUUUUGCUGUAAACACAAUGGUGAAGACUCCUGCUCGUGUGGAUAGGUGGCCACUGAAACGGUUGGUAACUUGGUAUUGUAAAUGGGACAAUGUUAUCGCAACAAUGCCAUGCUUUUCAUUGCCAUUAGCAAGUUGGUCGGGUUGGAAUUGUGCCUUCGUUUUAUGCUUUAUUCAGAUUCCGUGUCGGUGGGCUGUAUGUAAUGGUGGUGGCAUGGGCUUGGUGCUGCUGCAGCGUGUUAUCUUUGAAAAUGUGAACCCAAUUGCUGGAAAUCAUGUGAGAUUGUCAGGAGCGGGACAAGGCGAAACAUAUGAGCUGUGUUGUUUGGUUCUUAUGCCCUCUUUAUAUCCACCUAGCUAACUAUUAGCUGUGUUAGCUGGGAAAAGGCAACUAAUAGCUUAUUGUCGAGAGAAAUCAGCUAAUAACUGCUAACUGUUAUCUAGGUGGUAGGUAAGACAUUAGCUGAUAUUAUUUGAGGAUCCAAACAUGUUUCUAGCUAAUUAUUAAUACUUUCUCUAUGUCACCUAUGGUUUAAAGACUAAGAACGCAUUUAAUUCUCUCGCAACAUUAGUACUAUUGUAUUAAUAUAUUUGAUAGAGCACGCCUUAUAUUAGAGCAAGUAUAAUUGCAGGCUGUAAGUCGGCUAAAUGCUGAGGUGGAGGAUAGAAGAGAGUAGAAGCGGGCUGUACAAUAGGCUCAGACAUAAGAACCAAGGAAGUUUAAGUUUGUGAAAGAGACAAGUGAGCCAUGUAUUAAUAGUGAUGAGGAAACAAGUCGAGCCAGAAAUUGGGGAAAUCCCAGUCGCCUUGUGGCCAAGGCCAGAGCGAGCUCAGCGAAGAUGACGUGAAACAAUUUGUGGCCAAGGAGGUGAUCUACUACAAGAAAGUCCGGGAAGUGACCUUCGUCGACAAGAUCUCCAAGGCCCCAUCGGGCAAGAUAUUGCGCAAGGAGCUAAGGAAACAGCUUCAGCAGCAGCAUCAAGUGGUGUGAUUAAAAAGAAAAAGAACCCGUGUAUCGUUCUACUUAUUCUAUGAUUUGUUUGGAUGUCGACAAAUGGAGGAAGAAUUUUAUCGGAGUCACAAAAGUUUUAUCUCUUGAUGCGUAAUGUAUUUAGCUAAAUGGUGAGGCAGGGAGGCUUGAUGGAAUGUAUAUGGAUAUUGGAUUUGCGAAGGUACACCAUAUUUGGGGUGCCUGCGUUUAGUGUAUCUGGUCUAGUUGGUGGUGGUGAUGGUGCCGUGAUGUGUCCACCUCAUAAUGUUCAUUUUCCUCUCACAUACAAUUUCCAUCAUUGUAGAUUAAAAUCUAAUACAUUUUGCUA